AUUGAACGCUGGCGGCAUGCCUUACACAUGCAAGUCGAACGGUAACGCGGGGCAACCUGGCGACGAGUGGCGAACGGGUGAGUAAUGCAUCGGAACGUGCCCAGUAGUGGGGGAUAGCUCGGCGAAAGCCGGAUUAAUACCGCAUACGACCUACGGGUGAAAGCGGGGGACCGCAAGGCCUCGCGCUAUUGGAGCGGGCGAUGUCAGAUUAGGUUGUUGGUGGGGUAAAGGCCUACCAAGCCGACGAUCUGUAGCUGGUCUGAGAGGACGACCAGCCACACUGGGACUGAGACACGGCCCAGACUCCUACGGGAGGCAGCAGUGGGGAAUUUUGGACAAUGGGGGCAACCCUGAUCCAGCCAUGCCGCGUGCGGGAAGAAGGCCUUCGGGUUGUAAACCGCUUUUGUCAGGGAAGAAACGCUCUGGGCUAAUACCCCGGAGUAAUGACGGUACCUGAAGAAUAAGCACCGGCUAACUACGUGCCAGCAGCCGCGGUAACAC
rnacentral:rRNA from 1 species